UAGUAAAAGUCGUAACAAGGUUUCCGUAGGUGAACCUGCGGAAGGAUCAUUACAGUGUUCCCUGCCCUUACGGGUAGAAACGCCCACCCUUGUAUAAUAUAUCUUGUUGCUUUGGCAGGCCGCCUUCGGGCCCUGGCGUUUUGCCGGGUCGUGCCUGCCAGAGGACCCCAAACUCUGAAUGUUAGUGUCGUCUGAGUACUAUAUAAUAGUUAAAACUUUCAACAACGGAUCUCUUGGUUCUGGCAUCGAUGAAGAACGCAGCGAAAUGCGAUAAGUAAUGUGAAUUGCAGAAUUCAGUGAAUCAUCGAAUCUUUGAACGCACAUUGCGCCCCGUGGUAUUCCGCGGGGCAUGCCUGUUCGAGCGUCAUUUAAACCAAUCCAGCUUGCUGGGUCUUGGGCUUUCGCCUCUGGGCGGGCCUUAAAAUCAGUGGCGGCGUCACUCGGCUCUAAGCGUAGUAAUACUCCUCGCUAUAGGGUCCGGUUGGCAGCUUGCCAGUAACCCCCAAUUUUAUCAGGUUGACCUCGGAUCAGGUAGGGAUACCCGCUGAACUUAAGCAUAUCAAUAAGCGGAGGAAAAGAAACCAACAGGGAUUGCCCCAGUAACG
rnacentral:rRNA from 1 species